GUGUUUGGUUAGGCUGCGUAUGUGCUAAAAUUGGAAUAAUACAGAAAAGAUUAGCAUGGCUCUUGGGUGAGGAGGAUGGUAGGAAUGUCCACUAUUGGAUUUAAAACUCAUU
rnacentral:snRNA from 1 species